rnacentral:misc_RNA from 1 species
GAUGAAGAACGCAGCGAAACGCGAUAUGUAAUGUGAAUUGCAGAAUUCAGUGAAUCAUCGAAUCUUUGAACGCACAUGGCGCCUUCCAGUAUCCUGGGAGGCAUGCCUGUCCGAGCGUCGUUUCAACCCUCGAGCCCUCGUGGCCCGGCGUUGGGGAUCUGCCACGGCAGGCCCCGAAAUACAGUGGCGGACCCGUUAGGCCCUUCCUUUGCGUAGUAGCAUCAGCCUCGCAUCGGGAGCCGGCGGGCUCUCCUGCCUCUAAACCCCCCAACAAGCCCGCUCCGGCGGCACCAAGGUUGACCUCGGAUCAGGUAGGAAUACCCGCUGAACUUAAGCAUAUCAAUAAGCGGAGGA